rnacentral:rRNA from 1 species
CCUACGGGUGACUGCAGUGGGGGAUAUUGCACAAUGGGGGGAACCCUGAUGCAGCGACGCCGCGUGGGUGAAGGAGCGUUUCGGCGCGUAAAGCCCUAUCGGCAGGGAAGAAGGAGGACGGUACCUUACUAAGAAGCCCCGGCUAACUACUGGCCAGCAGCCGAGGUAGUACGGAGGGGGCAAGCGUUAUCCGGAUUUACUGGGUGUAAAGGUGGAGCAGACGGCAGCGCAAGCCAGGAGUGAAAUCCCGGGGCCCAACCCCGGGAGUGCUCUUGGGACUGCGCGGCUGGAGUGCAGGAGGGGCAGGCGGAAUUACUGGUGAAGCGGUGAACUGCGUAGAUAUCAGGAGGAACACCGGUGGCGAAGGCGGCCUGCUGGACUGCGACUGACGUUGAGGCCCGAAAGCGUGGGGAGCAAACAGGAUUAGAUACCCGAGUAGUC